CCAGUAUCGAAGCAUAUGUGGGCAAGUUUUGGUAGUUUUAGAUACUAUCCAUUCAUUCCGGGGGGGGGGAGUUGUGUUAUUUUUAACACUUUAAAUACCAAUACAGGUACGUGUGCUACUAGCUAUAAUGCUUAAUAAGCACAUUUAUAUUCACGUCUAAUAUCAUCAUAGCUCUCUUCCUUGUGAAAAAUCCGCGGAAAUUUACUCAAAAGUUACUUGCUGUCUUUGGAAUGAUGCAAAAGACCAUAAUUACGACGAACCUGGAACAGAACUAUUCAGAAAUAAUCGGUUUGUGAGUGGGGUAGGUUUAAACUCAUCUCACAACAUAUUAAACUGCGGGGAAAAACAAAUAAAUAUGCAUUGUUUUCGCCUUUUACAAACUUAUACUUGAGAACUGUGGCCAUUUCCAAGCUAAAUUACGUUUACAGUAUAAGAUUGAUAGCACAGUUCAUAACGCAGCCAGUAGUCAAAUUUCAUACGUCUCAUAUUACACGAUGCUCACUAACGAAUCUCGGUCUAAAACGCUGAUUUGCGUUACUAUAAAUUUUACUUAUCUUACAUUUUAUAUACAUAUGGGUUCAAGAAACCAUUUUCCUUAAUUACAAUCGGUUAACUUUGCAGAUAUCCCUUUUUAAGUUCGUUUUUGAACGAAGCUCACUACAAAUCUGUAAAUAAAUCUAUAUCUCAUUGGCUAUUUUAUGACAGAAAGGUGAGAAUCGUUGCUAGAAAAUCAUUCGUAUCUUAGUCAGUUCGUUACGAAAACUUGUAAAAUGGUCCUAUCUUGUAAAAUAUGCUGGACUUUAGAUGCCUAGGGUGAAUUUGUUUGAUAUUGUCUGCUAUUAAGGCUUUUAUGGCGUGUGAGCCCAUCAAAAUAUGGUGAGAUUC